AUGGAAACUCCUGCCAGGCAAAGAGAAAUAAAGAAGUCACUAACGAAGUCCAGGAGCCCAGCGUGUUUGAUCUGCUGCUGUUCUGGGAAGAGGCGGGAGUGGCUCUGGCCCAGGGAACAGUGCGUCCCCCUGAUGCGGGCCAGCCAGGGGAUGGGCUGGGAGAGGACCAACGCGGUGGCCGGUCCCUGCUUGUGCCCGCUGUCCACACCAUCUCUCGUGGCCUUCCUCUCGUCACCGUGUAUGGGUCAGGGCGCCACUGGCCAAGGCCGUGGACCUGGAUCUGUGGGCUGCUGGAGCCCAGUAGCAUCUCCUGCCAGUGGCCCAGCCUCACCCCUGCCAGAGCCGGAGGAGCUGCCCAGAAACCCGAGGGCAGCCGUCACCCUCGUGGGGGAUGGAAGCCGGACAAGCCCCCUCCCAGCUUCAGAGCGUUAUUCGUAGUAGAAGGAAACACAUGUGCCCGACAAGUGUGAAUCAUGCCGUGAUCAUGCACCCUUUCUCCAGAAGGUGAGGGAAUCAGAUUUACGAAGAGUUUUCGAAGACAGUGGGUGAGGUGGGGUGGGGUGGGGAUGCGUGAGCAAUCAGAUAGGAUUUUAAAAGCCCCCACUAAGAUUCAAAGUGUCCCGGGGAGAUGCAGUCCCCAGGUGUUAUCGGGGAUGAUCUUUGCAGCCCUAUAGUCUGGAAGGUUUCUGCGCCUCCUGGCUUUCCAAAUUAGCAUUUCCUAGUGCCCGGUGACGAGGGCGAGUGGGAACCACUUGGGGGGGGGGGGGAGGAGGCUGAAGCGCCUCCCUCCGUGGACCAAGGGCCACCACACGUCAGAUGAGAAAAACCAGGUCUUGCAUCACAUCCCAAAUCAGCAGGAAGCAAGUUCCGCGUGCCGCAGCCUCUGGCCCAAGCCCUGUGCUGAGGACAGGAGUCUCGACCCGCAGCUCACAUUUGGAACUGAUCUCCUGAAAAAAAAAAAAAAAAUAAGAAAUGAUCUGUUCGCGCUCGGGAUCCACUUCCCAAGCAGGUGCCUGAGACUCUCCCUUCCCUGCUCCCGACUCUGCCCUCCGGCUGCUCCGGCCACAUCUCCGGCCUCCCUAGCUUUGGUCUGGCUGUCGGCCUGGCUCACAGAUCCCGCUGCCGACGCUUAGGGGCUGGGGGUGGUGAGGGGAGGUGGACGGAUUGCAGAAAAUUACAUCGUAAUCCUUGUUGCUUUUUUGCCUUCAGACCCUGGUCACACUGAGCCUUAAAAGGAAGCACGGCGAUCCCUUCAAAGCCGAGCCCUAGAGCGCAAACCUUCUGGGUCCUCCUCUCGGCUCAGAUGCUAAGACCUUAAUCUCCAGGCCUCGGAUUUGGCCUGGUGGCCGGGCUCCCCAGUCCUCGGGCGAUGCGUGUUUCUGGCACCUGCGUGUGCGCGGGUCACCAUCCAGUUUCAGAUGAGAAAGCACCUCCUGUGGGAAGCCCUCCCGUCUCCUGAUGCCAGAUGCUGCCCCGUGGUGGCUUCGGCUACGGUUCUUACGUCGGUGGGAAGGGAGCACACCGAAGCUGUCCAGUGCCACAAGCCCACGGGGUUUGCUGCUUGCUGUAUCUUCAGUGAAGGUUGUGUGCCAUGCACACCGUAGGUGCUCAAGGAACCUCUGCAGGAUGAGCCCUGGGAGCCCCUGAAAAUGGGCAUUCCCUCCACUGUUGGCUCCAGGGGGACACACCCAGGAGGAUGCUGGCACCUGCAGGGUUCCUCUCGGAGGAUCCUUGGUUUUUGCAGAUGAAUGAGUGGGAGGCAUCUUGGCUCUUGACAGAGCCACCAGCCUGUGGGGCCUCAGUUAGCCUUUCUGUGAAAUGGGCGUCAUGAACGCAGCCUUUCCUACUGAAUUCUUAGGUUUUCCUCCUGGGUGUCUCCUUCAAUCACGAAUGGUUUUUAACAUUCACACUGCUUCUGACACCAGAUGUGUGGGUUCUCCCCCCACAUCCCACAAUUCUGUGACACCAGCUGGACGUCCUACAAUUCAACCUCAGUUCUGACACUGGCUGGGGGCAGCAUCAGAUCCCACAGGUUCAGGGCCCAGUCCCAUAAGACCUCCCUCCACCUCGGGUGCCAACGGCAAGUGGUAGGUGCAGAGGUUGCCCACGACUUCUUCUGACUUGGCUACAAACCAGAAGUUGCCAGGACCUUGUCCGCCUUGGAUUUGAUUCUUUACUAGAACAGCGCAGAGAACUCAGGGAAACACUUCUGUUUGCUGUAUUAAAGGCUCUGAUAAGGAUCCAGAUGAACAGCCAGGUGAAGAGGUAUAUGGGGUGAGGUCAGGGAGGGUCCCCGACACAGGAGCUUCUGUCCCUGUGGAGUUGGGGCGCACACCCUCCUGGUACAUGGAUGUGGUCACCAAUCCAGAAGCUCUCCCAACCCCUGACCAUGGGGGUUUUAUGGAGGCUUCGUCAUGUAUGUGCAAUCGAUCCUUAACUCCAUUCCCAGACCUCAGCCCCUCUCUGGAGGGCGGGGGGUGGGGCUGGAAAUUCCAGAUUUGUUCUUUCUGUGACCAGCCCCACGCAGGAGUCCACCCAGAACAAGAGAUGCUCCUGGUGCUCUUGCCCCUCGGGAAUUUAGAAGGGCUUCAGGAGCUCUGUGCCAGGAACCAGGGGCAGAGACCACUGCACAGGUCCUAGGAUCUCAUGUCUACCUCAGGAGGUGGUGGUGAGGUCUACCCUGAGAGUGGGGUGGGCGGGGGCGCGGCUGUGGUUGAACCAGCCAGUGGUUCAACUGGACGGUGGGGGUGUGUAUGUGAGCGCGCACGUACACUCGUGCAGAGAGCGUGGUGCACGCUGUGAGCCAGCUAAGCCCAGGCUGCGGUGGGCUGUCUUCUCUCCUCCUGAGUCCUUGUGUGCCCCUGCCUUAGCAGACAGGCCAGGCCUGGGCCCUCCGUCCACUCCCUCCCCAGGUCAGCACACUUGGCACCACUUGGCUUAGAGCAGGGAUGGCCUGUCUGCCUUGAGGGUACUCCCCCCGGUCCCCUUCUCACUGCCUGUCCCCCGAGUGAGGGGCUCUUGGCUGGGUUGUGAAAUCCAGGGCAAAGAGUGGUGCUGACACUUACCCACCUUCACUGAGCUCUUUUGGCCUGACCAUCCCCUCCCACUACCCUUGUGCAGUCUGGAGCCAUUGGAUCGAGAAGGA
rnacentral:lncRNA from 1 species